CAAUAGCGUAUAUUAAAGUUGUUGCAGUUAAAAAGCUCGUAGUUGGAUUUCUGGUCGGAAGCUCCUGUCCUCUGAUGAGCGUACAAGUGCGUCCUACCAUCCUUCUGUUAACCUUUAAGGCUUUCGCGGCUUUCUAGGGGCUCAGAUAUUUUACCUUGAGAAAAUUAGAGUGUUUCAGGCAGGCUAGCGCCGGAAUACAUUAGCAUGGAACAAUGGAAUAGGACUUUUGCCUCUUCUGUUGGUCAUGAGGCUCGAGUAAUGAUUAAUAGGGAUAGUUGGGGGCAUUAGUACUUAACUGUCAGAGGUGAAAUUCUCGGAUUUGUUAAAGACUAACUUAUGCGAAAGCAUUUGCCAAGGAUGUUUUCAUUAA
rnacentral:rRNA from 1 species